rnacentral:rRNA from 1 species
UACGGGGGGGGCAAGCGUUGUUCGGAAUUACUGGGCGUAAAGGGCUCGUAGGUGGCCAACUAAGUCAGACGUGAAAUCCCUCGGCUUAACCGGGGAACUGCGCAUGAUACUGGAUGGCUUGAGUUUGGGAGAGGGAUGCGGAAUUCCAGGUGUAGCGGUGAAAUGCGUAGAUAUCUGGAGGAACACCGGUGGCGAAGGCGGCAUCCUGGACCAUGACUGACGCUGAUGAGCGAAAGCCAGGGGAGCAAACGGG